rnacentral:rRNA from 1 species
UACGAAGGGGGCUAGCGUUGCUCGGAAUCACUGGGCGUAAAGCGCACGUAGGCGGCUCUUUAAGUCAGGGGUGAAAUCCUGGAGCUCAACUCCAGAGCUGCCUUUGAUACUGGGGAUCUCGAGUCCGGAAGAGGUGAGUGGAACUCCGAGUGUAGAGGUGAAAUUCGUAGAUAUUCGGAAGAACACCAGUGGCGAAGGCGGCUCACUGGUCCGGUACUGACGCUGAGGUGCGAAAGCGUGGGGAGCAAACAGG